GACGAACGCUGGCGGCGUGCUUAACACAUGCAAGUCGAACGGAAAGGCCCUGCUUGCAGGGUACUCGAGUGGCGAACGGGUGAGUAACACGUGGGUGAUCUGCCCUGCACUUCGGGAUAAGCCUGGGAAACUGGGUCUAAUACCGGAUAGGAGCCAUUUUUAGUGUGAUGGUUGGAAAGUUUUUUCGGUGUAGGAUGAGCUCGCGGCCUAUCAGCUUGUUGGUGGGGUAAUGGCCUACCAAGGCGGCGACGGGUAGCCGGCCUGAGAGGGUGGACGGCCACAUUGGGACUGAGAUACGGCCCAGACUCCUACGGGAGGCAGCAGUGGGGAAUAUUGCACAAUGGGCGCAAGCCUGACGCAGCGACGCCGCGUGGGGGAUGACGGCCUUCGGGUUGUAAACUCCUUUCGCUAGGGACGAAGCUUUUGUGACGGUACCUAGAUAAGAAGCACCGGCUAACUACGUG
rnacentral:rRNA from 1 species